rnacentral:rRNA from 1 species
AGUACGGAAUAAUUGUUGGAAACGGCAACUAAUACCGUAUACGCCCUACGGGGGAAAAAUUUAUUGCUAUUAGAUGAGCCUAUAUUAGAUUAGCUAGUUGGUGGAGUAAUAGCCUACCAAGGCAAUGAUCUAUAGCUGAUCUGAGAGGAUGAUCAGCCACACUGGAACUGAGAUACGGUCCAGACUYCUACGGGAGGCAGCAGUGGGGAAUAUUGGACAAUGGGCGAAAGCCUGAUCCAGCCAUGCCGCAUGAGUGAAGAAGGCCUUUGGGUUGUAAAGCUCUUUUAGUGAGGAAGAUAAUGACGGUACUCACAGAAGAAGUCCUGGCUAACUCCGUGCCAGCAGCCGCGGUAAUACGGAGAGGGCUAGCGUUAUUCGGAAUUAUUGGGCGUAAAGGGCGCGUAGGCUGAUUAAUAAGUUAAAAGUGAAAUCCCGAGGCUUAACCUUGGAAUUGCUUUUAAAACUAUUAAUCUAGAGAUUGAAAGAGGAUAGAGGAAUUCCUGAUGUAGAGGUAAAAUUCGUAAAUAUUAGGAGGAACACCAGUGGCGAAGGCGUCUAUCUGGUUCAAAUCUGACGCUGAAGCGCGAAGGCGUGGGGAGAAAACAGGAUUAGAUACCCUGGUAGUCCACGCUGUAAACGAUGAAUGUUAAAUAUGGGAAGUUUACUUUCUGUAUUACAGCUAACGCGUUAAACAUUCCGCCUGGGGACUACGGUCGCAAGAUUAAAACUCAAAGGAAUUGACGGGGACCCGCACAAGCGGUGGAGC